rnacentral:rRNA from 1 species
GGGCAAUAGGUGGUUGGGGUCUUUCAUGGUCAUUGCGCGCCGUAGCUAACGCAUUAAGUCCACCGCCUGGGGAGUACGGCCACAAGGCUAAAAACUCAAAGGAAUUGACGGGGGCCCGCACAAGCGGCGGAGCAUGCGGAUUAAUUCGAUGCAACGCGAAGAACCUUACCAAGGCUUGACAUGGGCCGGUGGUUCCCGGAGACGGGAGCGUCCCCUUUUUGUGGGCUGGUUCACAGGUGGUGCAUGGUUGUCGUCAGCUCGUGUCGUGAGAUGUUGGGUUAAGUCCCGCAACGAGCGCAACCCUUGUCUCGUGUUGCCAGCACGUUGUGGUGGGGACUCGCGGGAGACUGCCGGGGUCAACUCGGAGGAGGGUGGGGAUGACGUCAAAUCAUCAUGCCCCUUAUGUCUUGGGCUUCACGCAUGCUACAAUGGCCGGUACAGUGGGUUGCGAUGUCGUGAGGCGGAGCGAAUCCCUGAAAGCCGGUCUCAGUUCGGAUCGGUGUCUGCAACUCGACACCGUGAAGUUGGAGUCGCUAGUAAUCGCAGAUCAGCAACGCUGCGGUGAAUACGUUCUCGGGCCCUGUACACGCCGCCCGUCACGUCAUGAAAGUCGGCAACACCCGAAGCCCGUGGCCUUAUGGGGAGCGGUCGAAGGUGGGGCUGGUGAUUGGGACGAAGUCGUAACAAGGUAACC